AAAGGUUGUCUGUCUGACUUUGAAUUCAAUUUUGAAAAACUAGUCCAGAACAUUCGUAAUUAUGCCUUAGUGUUUCGUCGAUAUUUCUUUUUGGGACAAAUUUUGUGAUAAAAGGUGACCAACAGUAAUCUAACAGUUAUGCGUUUCUUUAGUUUAAUUCAAAAUUUAAUUUACUUGUUGCUUUAUCCACAAUAUGAUUAUAAUCACUAAUGUUUUUCACAUGUUUUCAUCUUCUUUUUCAGCAUUUAUCCAUUGGUCGUGUACCUGUUCACAGUUUUGGUAAUAUCUGUAACUCUAUUGCGAUGUAUCUUGUUGCAACUUAAUUACCAAUUUAACAAGACCAGUUUGGUACUAAAUUAACAUGUAAUGAUUAUCGAGAUGAUGAUGGUUGUCUAAAGGAACAGAUGGCUAAAGUACUCAAAGAUACGAAAGCUGAGAAAAGGUUGGCCAAAUUGAACAAGUUAACUACAUGCAAAGUUGAUCAGGAAUGGAAAGGAAACUGCAGAGUUGACUACUGAUAAAUCAUCACUAGAUUACUGAUGUAAACAAUGGAAUUAAUCAUGAAACAUUUUCGUUACAAACAAAAAUCUCCAAAUUUAUGUCGUAUUAUUCAACUUCACAAUUGGCAAACCUGAACGCGGUCACUAAAAGGAAAACUGAAUGGAUGAAGAGACUUCAUAUGGUCAAAAUUUCAUCACUUUGUGUCCAUUCUCAAUCGUCUAGUCAAAGAUUGACACUUGGACAAAGCAGACAACUAAAAGCAAAAUGGAAAUGCAAUGGAAAAGAUUAUUGAACUAAAAUUUUGUUUCAUCAAAGUUCUAUGGCCAUUCAGAAUUUCUUCCAUCAAUUUUGUGUCUUGUUCAUCAUCAUACAUUAACCAAAAUCCUUUUUUUCAAAGCUUUCACCAAUUGUCCAAAGAAUCAAUGAUUCCGGUUUAAUGAUCAACCUUUCCAUUUCUCGUCAUCUUCCAUUUAAGAGCUUUAAUCUGGAGACUUUUGUUAUCACUCAAGCAACAAAACCAAUACCCAAUCCUUAAUAUAUAAAAUACAUACUAUGAUCCACUAUGCUUUUGGGUUCAAAACCUACUCAUUGUCUGGUAUAUUUAAUGCCAAAAAGUGAAUCAUUUAAUGAGAUAUUUACUGAUAUUGGUUUCAUGUCUGUAAAACAUUCUGGAUAACGAUGCUAUUUCAUUCAUCAGUGAUUUUGGAAUGGUUAAGCUGGAGACAAAUUGUUUUGGUCAUUGAUUUGUGGUUUAAUGACGACAAUUCCCUGUUUACUGAAUUCAUCUCGAGUUGUUGACAUAACGUGUUAAAACUGACAGUUUACUCAAUUCAUGGCAAUUCAAUGUUUACUUUUUUCCGCUAUUUACAUUAAAAGCUGGAUAAAACAAGCUCACGAAUGGCAGCAACUUUGAUAACCUCAAUUGGAUUGAAUGUGCUUUUGCUUCAGCUUUACUUGCUUUGCUGUUCCAACACCAGUUAAUUAAAUUUAGAUGAUAAAGAGCAACUGAUUUGGAUAAAUUGGUAAUUGGAUUGAUACUGAUGAUCACCUAACCAGUUUCGAUACAAAACAAAAGAUCAAUUAUGGAAAGUUAUUUUUGAUUAGCUGCUCAUAACUUAUGAAUAAUGAAAUUAAUGAACCCAUUUCAAUUAAUUCAGAACCCAUUGUUGGCUGAUUCACUCAAGAUAUUAAUCAGAUUGUCGUUGAUAGUAACCAUGAUUCAAAUUCCAAUGGGAAAGCUAUUUCCAUGUCCAGUCCAAGUAGACGGAGACCUGAAUUUCAAGCAACAUGGACCAUGAAAGCUAGUAUCAAUUGCCAUGAAAACCUUAGUCAACCGAAGCUAAUGGAGACAAAAUUGACUGGAAUACAAGACUAAAUGGUGAUAAGUGAGGAAAUGAUUUACAUGGAAAUGGACGGAAAUUUAAAGUUAAAGGAUAAAAGGAAAUGCAACUUUCACUCCAUUUUCAACUGAAACCAUUGUAAAUGUAGUUUACGAUAAAAACAAAAUGGCAAUGGUAAUCACAAUCAAUUUGCAUCAUAAAGCAAUACAGUUGAACGCAUUCUUCUUGUCCUUCAAUAUUCAACAAACACCAUUCCAUCCUUUCGUGUAAAAGCUGAGUCAAGUUAAUAUUUUAUGACAAAAUGGAAGCUGAUUUCUGUCUGAAGCUGACUUCUCAAAAUUUUCAACUCCUCCAGUUUGAAUGUAAAUAGCAUGCUGUUGAUGGUGAUUUGAAUGGGUAACUUGUUUACAAUGGUUAAUUGGGUGAAAAAUGCACAAGUGUCAAGAAAAUAAUAUUUCAAGAGUGGUGCCAAUCGACAUGAACACUUAUUCAACUACAUGAGAUUCUGUUGUUGAAUUUAGUGUACAACUGGUGAAGUAUUGGAUGAAAUGGGAAAAGAAGGCAAAAGGAUAGACAAAAGGAGUGAAUGAGUGAAGAAAACGAUUUAUGAUUUGAUAACUGUAAUUGAAGGUGUUGUUGUUGUUAAAUCUGAAAGUUGUUGUAACUGUCAACUGGAGAGGGAGAGAAACAAAUGGCAAGAGUGUUUAAUGUAUCUUCUCAGAGUGUGUUCAGAUGAUUGAGGAACAGCAAAAAGACAAAAUAUUAUAACAAUCAUUUAAACACAUUUUUGCGCUUCAAAACUUUUCUCCACAAUAUUUUCGAAUUCUUUCUUUGCCUUUCUUCAUCCACUUUUCCCAUUUCUCUUUUUUUUUCGAGCUUUGCUUUGCUUUGACUUUUUUCUUGCAACUUCUGAUUUUCUUUUCAUCAUAUUCUUUUUUUUCUGUUUCUUCAGUCAUCGGAAUCCAUAGAUCUCUGUCUCCAGUUUGUUUCUCUCUGCCAUCUUUUUGCUGCUUUGGAUCUGCAACACUUUUACCCUGUUUGUUUGUUUAUCUGUAAUGUGAUUCUUCAACUGUUAUGGAAUUCUUGUCCUUUCGGUUGAAAAAUAGUGAUAGAUUUGUGGUGAAAACAAAGAAAAGGAUGAAAAAAUAUACAAAAUAGCGACAACAAAGGUUGCCUAAAAGGAGUUUUUUUCAUCAGAUAGAUGAAGAAAGCAAUAAUGAGUAAAGAGUCGAGUACAAGAAACAAGGUUCUGAGGUAGAUAUUAAUAAAGAGAUUCUCAUGGAUACUUACAGGGUUGUCUGAGUUGAAAGAUGAGAGUAGAUAAAAAAUCACUGGAACUGGAUAAAUACCAGAAGUAGGUAAUGAUGAGAAAAGACAGCAACUUGAUACGUGUAAUCAAUCAAGUUACAGUCUGAAAACAAUGGUCAACAUUAUUUACCAGUGUGUUUAAUUAACAAAUAUUCAAGUUAAUGUUAUUAAUAGAUGAGUAAAUGUGAAAUUGGUUACACAAAUGGACACUUGGCACAUAAUAAAGUAUUGUAACAAAGGGAACAAGAUGAAGGUUAAGAUGAAGCCAACAAUUAAUGACUGACUAUCAAUAUUUUUAUUAUCUUUCAUGGCUCUAAAUCAAUCUGUGGUUUUGUUUACCUCACCUCUUAACCUCACCAUGAGUUAACAUGAUUCCUUGCUUCAAAAACAUAACUCUAUCAAUCGAGCAGAUUCUUGAACAAUUUUGGUAAAGCUUUGUGAACGCGUUUGCUGUUUACACCAUUCAAAUAUUCAGCAAUUAAGAUUAUCAAAGAACAUCUUAAAUCCACAAAUUAUAUUCAAAGGCCAAAUUAAACCAAACUGUUUACCCUUUUUCACAAGGAAUGUUGGUUUUUACUCUCUACGGUUCAAAUCAAUAUCAAACUGGUGGCAUAUUUAGCUGUUAUCAACACUAUUUUAUACCCAAAAUGUGUUAAUUAGAGCAAGAAGAUUCAUUUGUGUACGAAAAACAUCACAUUUUUCUGUAAAAGCAGGGAAACCCAUUCAAUGUAAGGUUAAGUAGUCAAUGAAUGAAAUUAUGGCAACAAUUUUACCUCACCUGCAGGUUAAGGUUGGCUGGUUGUUGAUGAAAAUUGAAGGAAACAUUGUACAAAAUAAAAGUCAAUGAUGUAAUUUCAUCAACAGUUACUGGUUUCUUCAUUGGCUUCACUGAAUUCACAUUGUGGUUCUUCAAUAAGAUUGUGACAUUAGUUUGUAAAAUUGAAGGUUCCAACCAAGAUCAUCCUUAAAGUGGAUUAAAAAAGUUGCUUCAGAAACUAAAAUUGAAUCAACUUCACAUUUUCCAAACUCUUCUAGUUCUUCAUUUUCUGACUGAUGUACACCAAAAGAUAGCAGCAAAAUUGAUGAACUUCAUGAAGAGUAAAAAAUCGUAACCAGAUACACACAACUUUAUGCAGACUACUUUGUCUUGGAGCACUUUUCCUGGCUAAAAUAACUUUAUUCUGGAAGUGAGGCAAAAAAACUAAACGAUAACAAAAAGCAAAUUAGUAAUUACCUGAAAUUACUGCAAGGAUGAAUAAUCCAAUGGCCAGACUCUUUUUGGCGAAGUCGCUCUUUCAUCAAAGCUUUCUUGGAUCCAAACAAUUUCAUUGCUAAUUUAUUGUCCGAAGGU